rnacentral:lncRNA from 1 species
AAACAAUAUGGAGUCGACUUAAUAGGCAAACUACAAUAAUUGUAUUAAUUUUAGAUCAAAAUAAUUUAGUAUAAAUAGUAAUAAAAUUAAUUAUAAAUUAUUUUAGAACUAUUCUAAAUAUACUCAUGAUUCUAGAUUUUAUUUGUAAAAAUUAGAUGCAACUACUUUUCAUAUAAUGUAUCAUAUACACAAUCUUAAGAUUUUGAGAAAAGUAAAGUUUUUUUUCGCAUUCAUCUUCAUGAGAUAUAGUCAAAUGGUACUCCUACACAUCAUAAGAGGAUCCAAUUGAAUAAAAAAAGAGAGAUCUAAUAUCUAUUACCUCUU